UACGAAGGGGGGCUAGCGUUGCUCGGAAUCACUGGGCGUAAAGGGUGCGUAGGCGGGUCUUUUAAGUCAGGGGUGAAAUCCUGGAGCUCAACUCCAGAACUGCCUUUGAUACUGAGGAUCUUGAGUAUGGGAGAGGUGAGUGGAACUGCGAGUGUAGAGGUGAAAUUCGUAGAUAUUCGCAAGAACACCAGUGGCGAAGGCGGCUCACUGGCCCGAUACUGACGCUGAGGUGCGAAAGCGUGGGGAGCAAACAGG
rnacentral:rRNA from 1 species